CCUACGGGGGGCAGCAGUGGGGAAUAUUGCGCAAUGGACGAAAGUCUGACGCAGCGACGCCGCGUGAGGGAUGAAGGUUUUCGGAUCGUAAACCUCUGUCAGGAGGGAAGAAAGCGCAUGGCGCCAAUCAGCCAUGCGUUGACGGUACCUCCAAAGGAAGCGCCGGCUAACUCCGUGCCAGCAGCCGCGGUAAUACGGAGGGCGCGAGCGUUAAUCGGAAUUACUGGGCGUAAAGCGCGCGUAGGCUGUUGUGUAAGUUGGGGGUGAAAUCCCACGGCUCAACCGUGGAACAGCCCUUGAUACUGCGCGACUUGAAUCCGGGAGAGGGUGGCGGAAUUCCAGGUGUAGGAGUGAAAUCCGUAGAUAUCUGGAGGAACAUCAGUGGCGAAGGCGGCCACCUGGACCGGUAUUGACGCUGAGGCGCGAAAGCGU
rnacentral:rRNA from 1 species